rnacentral:lncRNA from 1 species
GCAGUAAUAAAAAAAAGUAAUUAAUUAAUUAAUAAAAAAAAAAAAGAAAACCAGACAAGGGAAUACUUAGACCAGUCAAAACAUAGUUUAAAACAGACUCUAGCGGAGUUCCCGUCGUGGUGCAGUGGUUAACGAAUCUGACUAGGAACCAUGAGGUUGCGGGUUGGGCCCCUGGCCUUGCUCAGUGGGUUAAGGGUCCAGCAUUGCCAUGAGCUGUGGUGUAGGUUGCAGAUGUGGCUCGGAUCCCGCAUUGCUGUGGCUCUGGUGUAGGCCGGUGGCUAUGGCUCCAGUUGGACCCCUAGCCUGGGAAUCUCCAUUUGCCAUGGAAGCAGCCCUAGAAAAGGCAAAAAGACAAAAAACAAACAAACAAAAAAAUAAUUGUAAAUAUAGAUGUACCCAGCAUGGGAGACCUGUAUACAUAGUGCAACAAAUAUUAACAGACACAAAGGGAGAAACAGUCGGUCACAAUAUUAGUGGGGAAUUUAACACCUAACUUAUAUCAAUUGACAGAUCAUCCAGACAGAAAAUCAACCCAGAAACUUCAGGCCUGUCUAUCCACUGCCCUUUACAUAGAUAUAUAUACACACACAUAUACAUACAUACAUAUAUAUACGACAUUGUAUCCCAAAGUAGCUUAAUAACAUUUUCAAGUACACAUGUAACAAUCUCCAGGGUAGACCACAGAGGCCCAAGUCAAUCCAUGAUAAGUUUAGGAAAACUGAAAUCACAGUCAAGCAUCUUUUCCAAUCGCAACACUAUGAGAUUAGUCAAUGAUUAUGCAAUGUGCAGACAGCCAUGACAGCUGCCCCCUCCCCACCUCAGUUAUCUGAUGGGAUGACCUCCCUUCCCCUCCCCACGAGGGCAGAGGCGGGGGCCCCUCAGAGGGAAGAGGACACUGGUAGACAGUCCUUUGAGUUAAUCAGCUUCUUCCUCUAAAAAUGCAAACACUCCUCGGACAAGGGACCCUCCUGGGAACCAGGCAUCACUCUGCUGUGCAAGAGACAGGGAAGAGGGCCUGGGGACCAUCUGCACACCACACAGGCUGCAAAGAGCUCAUGCUCUCGGCUCAGGGUUCUUAAACUUCACUCUGCCUUCCCAAAAGGACUGACCCUCUGAGCAAAUAUGUAAGCACAUUUAUUCAUUUUCAAAAUCAGUCCUCCUGGUCGCCUCAGAAUGAGCUGCACAAUAUAAACUGAAAGCAGUUCAGUCCCUCAGAAAAUGAAACAUAAGAUCAAUGAGGUGGUUUAAGCACACGGGGUAGGAGAAGGAGCCUUUGGAGACGACACGGUGUUCACUGAGCCUUAGACAAAGCUGUGUCCAUUCUGCUUACCCGAGGGAGGCCAUCCUUGCCCACUGCCCCCAAGUGCUCCUAGAUGAUGGCACCAGGGCUAGGACUCCUCGCUGGGAGGCAGCGUGGUGCAAGGGGCCUGGCCCAGGACAGGACUCCAUGAGCAAGUCUGUUCACCUUCCUUCUUGGACUGGUCAUUACCCACUACCUCACUUUUUAAGGAGAAGUCCCCUCAGGAGAACUGUGCUGAGCACAGAAUUAAGUCAGAUAAUGAAGGAAAGGAACAAAAUAAGCCAGUUAGAUGAACAAGGUGAAAGAGCUGGAGACUGAGGAAACUGGAGACUAGGUUCUCUGCAUGCCUGGUGAGACCUGUAGAAUGUGGGGAAAUGUAGCCCUGUUCUUGGAUUAACUGUCGCCUUCUUAAUAAAUACCUUUGCAGCACAUGAUCCUUUAUUAUUGAAAAGACCCUGAAACAUAUUUCAGGAAAAGGGAAAAAAAUCACCUAUACUCCGUCAUCUCACCACCAUCCAUUUUGAAACGCUGCUCUUUGAAACCUGGAGCUGGCCAGGUACUGGGGCAACUCAAGCACAGCAUGAGAACAAGUUUAGCAGCCAAAUGGUAACAGGACUGGAGCAGCCCCAGGAUUUUGACAGUGUCUCAGCUUCGUCCCGGUCGGCACUGGUCAGACCAUGUCCACAACUGUGGUGUCUAGAAAAAGGACUGUGUCCUGGGCCAGAGAAGGAACGUGAGAGGUGACUAAGACCUUGGAAAGGAAGCCCAGGAAGGAGGUGAGGUUUAAUCUGCCUGCUUUUGUUUAGGAAACAUAAGGAAUUAAAUCUGACUUUAAGCCAGUGUUUCGGGCUCAACAAAGGUGAUCAGCUGUUGGCUAGAACAGGAACUUGACCAGAGCCAGAGUGAUGGG